CAAGUCGAGCGCACCUUCGGGUGAGCGGCGGACGGGUUAGUAACGCGUGGGAACAUACCCUUUUCUACGGAAUAGCCUCGGGAAACUGAGAGUAAUACCGUAUAAGCCCUUCGGGGGAAAGAUUUAUCGGGAAAGGAUUGGCCCGCGUUAGAUUAGAUAGUUGGUGGGGUAAUGGCCUACCAAGUCUACGAUCUAUAGCUGGUUUUAGAGGAUGAUCAGCAACACUGGGACUGAGACACGGCCCAGACUCCUACGGGAGGCAGCAGUGGGGAAUCUUAGACAAUGGGCGCAAGCCUGAUCUAGCCAUGCCGCGUGUGUGAUGAAGGUCUUAGGAUCGUAAAGCACUUUCGCCAGGGAUGAUAAUGACAGUACCUGGUAAAGAAACCCCGGCUAACUCCGUGCCAGCAGCCGCGGUAAUACGGAGGGGGUUAGCGUUGUUCGGAAUUACUGGGCGUAAAGCGUACGUAGGCGGAUUGGAAAGUUGGGGGUGAAAUCCC
rnacentral:rRNA from 1 species